UGGGGAAUAUUGCACAAUGGGGGAAACCCUGAUGCAGCGACGCCGCGUGAGCGAAGAAGGUUUUCGAAUCGUAAAGCUCUGUCCUAUGGGAAGAUAAUGACGGUACCAUAGGAGGAAGCCCCGGCUAACUACGUGCCAGCCGCCGCGGUAAUACGUAGGGGGCAAGCGUUGUCCGGAAUCACUGGGCGUAAAGGGUUCGCAGGCGGAAAUGCAAGUCAGUUGUGAAAGGCAGAGGCUCAACCUCUGUAAGCAAUUGAAACUGUAUUUCUUGAGAUGUGGAGAGGCUAGUGGAAUUCCUAGUGUAGCGGUGAAAUGCGUAGAUAUUAGGAAGAAUACCGGUGGCGAAAGCGACUUGCUGGACACAAACUGACGCUGAGGAACGAAAGCGUGGGUAGCAAACAGG
rnacentral:rRNA from 1 species